GGUUGACCUCGGAUUAGGUAGGGAUACCCGCUGAACUUAAGCAUAUCA
rnacentral:rRNA from 1 species